ACCCCCACACAGACAGAGCGCAGAGGAGAAGACUGGCACAACUCAAGCAUGUUGUGUCUGGGUGUGAGAUGACUCACGGGACGAGGCAAAGCGCCGGGCACACACAGCUCUCAGUGACAUCGCCGCUCCUCCGAGAGGUGUGUGCUCAGAUUGGAACAAGGAUCAAGUCACCCAUCACAGUAAAGCAUGCACGGAAAGGCCAAGAGGUAGAAAAUCUGUCUGCCUAU